rnacentral:sRNA from 1 species
GUGAACCUCAAGCCUUGAAAACACACAUGCACCGGCACAUGGUCCCGGGUGCUGCCGCGGUUUCCCCCCGGCAGUCGGAUCCAUGGGGUGCAUGGAGGCCUAACC